rnacentral:rRNA from 1 species
ACACGUGGUAUCCUGUCUGAAUAUGGGGGGACCAUCCUCCAAGGCUAAAUACUCCUGACUGACCGAUAGUGAACCAGUACCGUGAGGGAAAGGCGAAAAGAACCCCGGCGAGGGGAGUGAAAAAGAACCUGAAACCGUGUACGUACAAGCAGUGGGAGCACCUUCGGGUGUGACUGCGUACCUUUUGUAUAAUGGGUCAGCGACUUAUAUUCUGUAGCAAGGUUAACCGUAUAGGGGAGCCGCAGGGAAACCGAGUCUUAACUGGGCGUUAAGUUGCAGGGUAUAGACCCGAAACCCGGUGAUCUAGCCAUGGGCAGGUUGAAGGUUGGGUAACACUAACUGGAGGACCGAACCGACUAAUGUUGAAAAAUUAGCGGAUGACUUGUGGCUGGGGGUGAAAGGCCAAUCAAACCGGGAGAUAGCUGGUUCUCCCCGAAAGCUAUUUAGGUAGCGCCUCGUGAACUCAUCUUCGGGGGUAGAGCACUGUUUCGGCUAGGGGGUCAUCCCGACUUACCAACCCGAUGCAAACUACGAAUACCGAAGAAUGUUAUCACGGGAGACACACGGCGGGUGCUAACGUCCGUCGUGAAGAGGGAAACAACCCAGACCGCCAGCUAAGGUCCCAAAGUCAUGGUUAAGUGGGAAACGAUGUGGGAAGGCACAGACAGCCAGGAUGUUGGCUUAGAAGCAGCCAUCAUUUAAAGAAAGCGUAAUAGCUCACUGGUCGAGUCGGCCUGCGCGGAAGAUGUAACGGGGCUAAACCAUGCACCGAAGCUGCGGCAGCGACACUAUGUGUUGUUGGGUAGGGGAGCGUUCUGUAAGCCUGCGAAGGUGUGCUGUGAGGCAUGCUGGAGGUAUCAGAAGUGCGAAUGCUGACAUAAGUAACGAUAAAGCGGGUGAAAAGCCCGCUCGCCGGAAGACCAAGGGUUCCUGUCCAACGUUAAUCGGGGCAGGGUGAGUCGACCCCUAAGGCGAGGCCGAAAGGCGUAGUCGAUGGGAAACAGGUUAAUAUUCCUGUACUUGGUGUUACUGCGAAGGGGGGACGGAGAAGGCUAUGUUAGCCGGGCGACGGUUGUCCCGGUUUAAGCAUGUAGGCUGAUUGUCCAGGCAAAUCCGGAUAAUCAAGGCUGAGGUGUGAUGACGAGGCACUACGGUGCUGAAGUAACAAAUGCCCUGCUUCCAGGAAAAGCCUCUAAGCAUCAGGUAACAUCAAAUCGUACCCCAAACCGACACAGGUGGUCAGGUAGAGAAUACCAAGGCGCUUGAGAGAACUCGGGUGAAGGAACUAGGCAAAAUGGUGCCGUAACUUCGGGAGAAGGCACGCUGGUGUGUAGGUGAAGUCCCUGCGGAUGGAGCUGAGACCAGUCGAAGAUACCAGCUGGCUGCAACUGUUUAUUAAAAACACAGCACUGUGCAAACACGAAAGUGGACGUAUACGGUGUGACGCCUGCCCGGUGCCGGAAGGUUAAUUGAUGGGGUUAUCCGUAAGGAGAAGCUCUUGAUCGAAGCCCCGGUAAACGGCGGCCGUAACUAUAACGGUCCUAAGGUAGCGAAAUUCCUUGUCGGGUAAGUUCCGACCUGCACGAAUGGCGUAAUGAUGGCCAGGCUGUCUCCACCCGAGACUCAGUGAAAUUGAACUCGCUGUGAAGAUGCAGUGUACCCGCGGCAAGACGGAAAGACCCCGUGAACCUUUACUAUAGCUUGACACUGAACAUUGAGCCUUGAUGUGUAGGAUAGGUGGGAGGCUUUGAAGCGUGGACGCCAGUCUGCGUGGAGCCAACCUUGAAAUACCACCCUUUAAUGUUUGAUGUUCUAACGUUGGCCCCUGACCGGGGUUGCGGACAGUGUCUGGUGGGUAGUUUGACUGGGGCGGUCUCCUCCCAAAGCGUAACGGAGGAGCACGAAGGUUAGCUAAUCCUGGUCGGACAUCAGGAGGUUAGUGCAAUGGCAUAAGCUAGCUUGACUGCGAGCGUGACGGCGCGAGCAGGUGCGAAAGCAGGUCAUAGUGAUCCGGUGGUUCUGAAUGGAAGGGCCAUCGCUCAACGGAUAAAAGGUACUCCGGGGAUAACAGGCUGAUACCGCCCAAGAGUUCAUAUCGACGGCGGUGUUUGGCACCUCGAUGUCGGCUCAUCACAUCCUGGGGCUGAAGUAGGUCCCAAGGGUAUGGCUGUUCGCCAUUUAAAGUGGUACGCGAGCUGGGUUUAGAACGUCGUGAGACAGUUCGGUCCCUAUCUGCCGUGGGCGCUGGAGAAUUGAGGGGGG